AACUUUUGUUCCCCAUCAGUUGAACAUAUUUUUCGUCUUUUACCAAAGAUUUUCGUGGGGGGAGCAUUUAAAGGAGUCUAGAAAAAAUGUAAUUUUUUGAAAGACCUGAUUCUGAUCGGGCCA